AUGAGUUAGGGUCUCCGGGCCCGAACCUCCAACCCUCUGUCGUUAUAUAAAAACCCUUGUUGCUUCGGCGGGACUCGGGGGCGCCCUCACGGGACCGCCGCCGCGCCGGGCCUCCGGGCCCGGAUCGUUCCCGCCGGAGUCAAACCAAACUCUUGUUUUAACAGUAUCGUCUGAGUAAAUUGAUAAAUCAAUUA
rnacentral:misc_RNA from 1 species